CCAAUAGCGUAUAUUAAAGUUGUUGCGGUUAAAAAGCUCGUAGUUGAAUUUCGGGGUUAGCAAGUUGGUCGUGCCACUGGUAUGUACUGGCUUUGCUGAUUCCUCCUUCUUGUAGAACCGUAAUGCCAUUUAGUUGGUGUUGCGGGGAAACAGGACUGUUACUUUGAAAAAAUUAGAGUGUUUAAAGCAGGCUAACGCCUGAAUACAUUAGCAUGGAAUAAUGAAAUAGGACGAGCGAUCCUAUUUUGUUGGUUUCUAGGAUUGACGUAAUGAUUAAUAGGGAUAGUUGGGGGCAUUAGUAUUCAAUUGUCAGAGGUGAAAUUCUUGGAUUUAUUGAAGACUGACUACUGCGAAAGCAUUUGCCAAGGAUGUUUUCAUUAAUCAAGAACGAAAGUUAGGGGAUCGAAGACGAUCAGAUACCGUCGUAGUCUUAACCAUAAACUAUGCCGACUAGGGAUCGGAUGAUGUUAAUUUUUUAAUGACUCAUUCGGCGCCUUACG
rnacentral:rRNA from 1 species